AUGAUUUGUAUAGAGAAGAAUUUGCAUAUUCACAUUCUCAGCAACAAAAAUAAAAGAUCUUGCAUACUUGUGAUAACAAAUGGAUUGAUUUCUUGUGGCAGGCUCCAGAUACAAAAACAGGAAGCUCCAGUCAAUGGGAACUGGGUUGACAUAGGCAGCGAGCAAUUUUUGCAGUUGUUCAUUUCCUCUAUUUCAAAGAGGUUCCUAAGCAAAUGGAGAUCUAAGUGUGAUCUACAUAUGUAUUGA